CCUGGCUCAGAUUGAACGCUGGCGGCAGGCUUAACACAUGCAAGUCGAGCGGGGAUAGGGUGCUUGCACCUGAUUCCUAGCGGCGGACGGGUGAGUAAUGCUUAGGAAUCUGCCUAUUAGUGGGGGACAACGUUCCGAAAGGGACGCUAAUACCGCAUACGUCCUACGGGAGAAAGCAGGGGAUCUUCGGACCUUGCGCUAAUAGAUGAGCCUAAGUCGGAUUAGCUAGUUGGUGGGGUAAAGGCCUACCAAGGCGACGAUCUGUAGCGGGUCUGAGAGGAUGAUCCGCCACACUGGGACUGAGACACGGCCCAGACUCCUACGGGAGGCAGCAGUGGGGAAUAUUGGACAAUGGGGGGAACCCUGAUCCAGCCAUGCCGCGUGUGUGAAGAAGGCCUUUUGGUUGUAAAGCACUUUAAGCGAGGAGGAGGCUUACCUGGUUAAUACCUGGGAUAAGUGGACGUUACUCGCAGAAUAAGCACCGGCUAACUCUGUGCCAGCAGCCGCGGUAAUACAGAGGGUGCAAGCGUUAAUCGGAUUUACUGGGCGUAAAGCGCGCGUAGGUGGCUAAUUAAGUCAAAUGUGAAAUCCCCGAGCUUAACUUGGGAAUUGCAUUCGAUACUGGUUAGCUAGAGUAUGGGAGAGGAUGGUAGAAUUCCAGGUGUAGCGGUGAAAUGCGUAGAGAUCUGGAGGAAUACCGAUGGCGAAGGCAGCCAUCUGGCCUAAUACUGACACUGAGGUGCGAAAGCAUGGGGAGCAAACAGGAUUAGAUACCCUGGUAGUCCAUGCCGUAAACGAUGUCUACUAGCCGUUGGGGCCCUUGAGGCUUUAGUGGCGCAGCUAACGCGAUAAGUAGACCGCCUGGGGAGUACGGUCGCAAGACUAAAACUCAAAUGAAUUGACGGGGGCCCGCACAAGCGGUGGAGCAUGUGGUUUAAUUCGAUGCAACGCGAAGAACCUUACCUGGCCUUGACAUACAGAGAACUUUCCAGAGAUGGAUUGGUGCCUUCGGGAACUCUGAUACAGGUGCUGCAUGGCUGUCGUCAGCUCCGUGCAAAC
rnacentral:rRNA from 1 species